rnacentral:tRNA from 1 species
GGAUUGUGGCUCAGUGGCAGAGCACUUGCCUCACAUAUAUAAGGCACUAGGUUCGAUCCUUAGCACCA